GCAAUUCCUCAGAAAAUUGGACAUAGUACUACCAGAAGACCCAGCUAUACCACUCCUGGGCAUAUACCCAGAAGAUGCUGACAAGGGAUCACGUCUAUAAAACUUCUAGGGAAUUCAUUGUCUCUGCUGGCCUCCAGUGAAGAAACUUUAAAAACUUGAUGGAACUCAGGAAAUAAAACUCAACAGAA